GAGGUGGCGGUGGAGGAGGAGAGAAAGAAAGAGGAUAGAGAGGGAGAGAGAGAAAGGAAGGAAGGGAAGGAAAGGGAAGGGAAGGAGGGAGAAAAGACAGAGGUGGGGAGUGGAGGAUGGGAGGAGGGAAGGAAGGAGAGAGGGGGAGGGAGAGAGAGAGAUAGAGAGCCGCAGAAAGGAGGGAGCGAGGUUAGGCUCCUAGAGUGGGAAGAAGUCCGAGGACAUCCAGGUUCACUUCUGCUGAAAAACAGACUUGAGGCGCCCCCUCCCAGCUUUUUUUUUCCUCCUCUCUCUGAGUUCCCGGCCCCAGAGUGCCAGCAGUGGGCAGGGCGGAGGACUCCAGCGCGUCCCUGCGGCCGGGGAUGGUGGCGCAGGGGGAGUCGAAGGGAGCCCACCUCCUCUAGUUCAGGCGAGUCUGAGAACGGCUCUGGGCAACCCUGGAGAUGUAAGAGAAGUGGCCCCCGCACCAGGACUCCCGAGCUGGGGGAAGGCAGGCAAGAGGGCAUCGAGGCAUCAGUGAAGGCAGAGCAGGGCAGGCAGGCAGGCGGGCAGGACAGGCAGGCGGUAGGGUAGGCAAGGCGCCAGGGGCCGAGUCCCGGAGCUGCGCGCCCUGUCGUGCUGCCAGGGCGGCUCCGCUCCGCUCCGUGCGCCCCCGCCAGCGCCCCGGCGGUGCUACGCCGCCCCCACUGGCUGGGUUGGAUCAGAUAGCUGGCUUUGUGUCCUCAGGCUCUGCUGGGUUCUUCUCGGCCCGCGGGAGGAAGUUGGAAGCCCCUGGCCCCGCACCGCAGCGGGUUAGUCCCCUUCAAGGCAGGACGCCUUUUGUUUGGGGAGAGGGAGCGUGUGUGCGCCCGUGUGCGCGCCUUUGCGAUUCUAUUAGCAUCGCAACGUGGACACCAACAAGGAAUACAUACGGAGAGGAGACACAUUCACGCACGCACACACACACACACACACACACACACAUACACACACACAGGCGCGCGCACACACACAGGCGCGUGCCACACACAGGCGCGCACACAUACACACCCUCCCUCCCUCCGUCCCUCCCUCCCUCUCUCCCGCCGGCUCGCCUGCCUCUGCCUCUGCCUCUGCCUCUCCUUCGCAGCCGGCAGCUGCACCUGCUCGCCUCCAGCCCUCGCCCUUAGGACUCGACCGAGCCGGGCCGGGGAUGUGGUCCCGGAGUGGCGGCGCGGGGACGCCGGAGCCCAGCGGCCUCCUGCCCCCACUGUCCCUGAGUCCUCAACCUCAGCAGGCUCGGGGAGGAAAGUGACUGGGGCAGCGCCUGGAGCCUGGGCCGAACGACUUAAGGGGGAAUCUCUGCUGUCUUCCAGGUUGUCCUCCCACCAAAGGUCUGUCUGUUUGCUGAGAAGUGACAAAACUUCUGCCUCAGGAAGAGGGAGUCCAGGGUCCUUUAGGAACCAGGUCAGAUAUCUCUUGGCUGUUUCUCAUGAUCUGGAGACCUCAUUUUUCUUGGCGUGGAUGGUGAUGUAGUUUGGAAUGUGACAUGGGACUCUCCUCUGCCUGGGUUGCUAUGGUGAGUGUGUGUAUAAAAUGGCGCAUGGGCUGAGGCAUAGGUGAUGUGUUAAAUCCUAAACAGUUUCCCUAAAAAACAGGACCUUACAGAGGAUGUUUGGAGAAAGAACAUGCAGUCUUUUCCUUGUGAUGUCAGCAGGGACAGCAAUGAUCUGAGCCCUGAACUCUUGAGCUCUCUGACCAACCCAUAUUUAAUCAGUUGUCAAGUCUUUUUGAUUCUUCUUCCUCAACAUCUUGGGGUUCCACACCCUUCUCUCCACUCACAUAGCCACUCUCCUGGUUCAGUCUCUUCUCACUUCUCAUUUCAAUUACUACAAUAGCUUUCUUUUUGGUCCCCUAUUCUCUUUUCUCUCCUUUUCUUUUAUUACAUUUAUCCACCCCAGUUCUCUUCUUCUCCCAAGUAAACAUCCUCAGUUGCCUCAUUCGGUCCUCAUGAGAUAUGGACUCAAGCCCCUUCACAAACCCAAUCUCCUUCCUCUGACAUUGUCCAAUUUUAGUCUCCUUCUUAAACUAUGGUGUCCAGAGCCAUAAGAGGUCUUUAAUAAAUAUUUGUGAACUUGAAGAUGAAUUUGGCAGUGAGUGGGGCUUGGGUCAUGCCUGGGGUUUGGGGAGUCAAUUUGUGGAUACAUAUAGAACAUACAUUUGGGACUAAGAUUAGGACUCAGUCUUCAGUUAGGAUUGAUAAUAACUGAUUUAUAUAACAUUUAAGUUUAUUUUAUUUGAGCCUUGCAACAACCUAAAGCAGCCACUUUAGAUACUAUUUGUCCCAUUUUAUGAAUGAGGAACUUGAAGUUAAGAGAGAGAAGUAAAUGACUUGUCUGUGAUCACAUAACUAGUAAGUAUCUAAGGGAGAAUUUGAACUAAGGUCUUCCUAUUUUCCAGACCAAUACAUAUUCUCCUGUGCUACAAUCCAUGGUUAGAGAGAAGAACUUUUCUUUCUUUUGGUCUCAGGUGGAUCCCCAGAGAGCCACUGAUUUGGACAUACACCCUGGACACUUCUCCCUAUAAUUCAUUUAAUACUUUUAGUUGGGCUCAGUCAGUCAUCUAGCAUUUAUUAAGCGAGUACCCUGUGCCAAGCACUGGGAAUACAGGAAAGGCAAAAGACAAUUCCUACUCUCAAGGAGGUUACAGUCUAAUAGGGAAGACAACAUGGAAAUCACUAUGUACAAACAGGAUACAUAUAUAUGAACAUACACAUGCAUGUCUAUGUAUAGGAGUAUAUACAUAUAAUUUAUAUAUGUACAUAUGUUGUACAUGUAGAUAUAUGUGUGCAUAUCUAUGCCUGUAUCUAUCUAAUCUAUCAUCAGUCAAUCACUCUAUCCAUCCAUCCAUCUAUCCAUCCGUCCAUUCAUCAUUUAUCCAUUUAUCUAUGUCUCUCUCUCUCUCUCUCUCUCUCUCUCUCUCUCUCUCUCUCUCUCUCUCAAUAUAUCUCAACAGAGAGAAAAAACUCUUCAGAGGGACCAGGAAAGGUAUCUUAUAGAGGGUAACAGGAGGCAGAGGUAAGGAGGGAGAGUGUUCCAGGAAUGUGAGAGAGCCAAUGAAAAUGCCUGGAGUCAGGAGAUGGAAUGAGUAUCUUUUGUGAAGAAUAGAAAUGAGGCCAGAGUCACUGGUUUGAAGAGGAAAUGGAAUUGAGAGAGGUAUAAGGUAUAAGAAGACUAGGAAAGUAAGAAGAAGUCGGAUUAAGGAAGGAUUUAAAGGCAAAACAGAGGAUUUUACAUUUGAGCUUGGAGGCAAUAGGGAGCCAUUGGAGUUGAUUGAAUUUGAUUGAAGUUGACAUGGCCAGAUUUAUAGUUAGAAAAAUUAAUUUGACAGCUAGGUGAAGGAAGAGUUGGAAUGGAAUCAAGAGUUAGGAUCAAGGAGAGACUGAGGCAAGAAGUUCAACUAGAAUGAUCUUGUAAUAAAAGAGGCCUGAGGGAAUGAGGUCAUGGUGAGAAAGAAAUGUUAUAGAGGUAGAAAUGACAGUCUUGGGCAACUGUUUGGAUAUGAGAAGUGAGAAAGUGAGGAGUGAGUCAAAAAUGACACCUAGGUUGCAAGUCUGGAAAGAUGUUGAGCUCUCUAUAGCAGUAUGGAAUUUGGGAAUGGAGAAGAAUUUUGGGGGGAAGAUAUAUUGAUAUGUAGUAAAAUGUCCAAUUAUAUAGUUGGAGAUUUAAGACUAGAAAUCAGGAGAGAAGUUAGGAAUGGUCAAAUAAAUUUAAGAAUCAUCUACAUAGAGACUGUAGUUAAAUCCAUGGAGGCCAAUGAGAUCACGAAGCUGUAUAUUAUUAAAAAAGAGAAGAGAGCACAAGGCAGGGCCAUGGGGUUUCCCAGGCUCUGUGGGAUGAUUUCUCUACCUUUUCUAAAUAACAGAAAAUGAUUAUGAAGGUUUAGAUCCCUUCCCUGAGCAGGAUAACCUAAAGCUGGGCUGACCACCCCUCAAUGGUUAGCUCCACCAGCUUCAAUCCACCCUUUCCCAAGAGACUUUUGGUUCAGUCCGAUCCAGGUGUACAUCCCUCUGGGAUAUUAUUAGACCUUUCCUGGAGAAAAUAAAUAUUUAUGCAGUGACUCUGCCCAGCAAAUGAUUAAAUGAGAUAUCACCAAGAGGUGCUGGAGCGAAGCAGGAAUAGGAACUUUCGUUAACGGAGUCUCUUUUGAUUUCUGUGUUGACUUUUUUUUCUUCUCAAUAUCCCUCUUUGUCACUUUCAACAUCAGCUCUGUAGCAGAUCUGAUGGGUAGCUUCUUCCUUGGAGGAUUUUUUGGUUUUAAUUCAGUGUCAGAUUGUGAUUCUGUUUGCUGAAUUGGCCUCACCUCUUCCUGGGAGGAAGGAAGCCAGGGGUUGGGUGAGAAGUGGGGAGAAGACGGAGGGUAGAAAGAAGAGCAAAGGGUAGAUGGGUUCAGGACAGUUGAAAAUACCUUUCUGUGAUUGUUCUAUUGAUUUGGGCAAUGCUAUGGAGGGAUGAAGAAGCCACCUAGUCAUGGUUAGUCAUAGGAGUCUUUUGACUCCAGGAAAGGAAUGACAAGAUGCUAAAAUUUCAUUUAACCCAUCUCUUUAAAAGUCACUAGUCCAAACCAUGGUGACACCCAAUUGGUGUGGAGCUUUUUGCUAGAUAUUAUGGGAAGAAGAAAAGGGAGGAGAUAAGGUCCUGCUUAUGGAAAGACAUGGGAAACACUGAUCUGAGGGGAGAAAUAUAGCCCCUUUUUCAUAGAAAUCCCUUGGACUUAUUUAUGGAUGAGCCAGAGGACUUCCCUCAGGUAUUUCUUGGUUUAAUGAGGGAAACACUGACACUUCCUUAAGGAGCUUUCUUGAAUUGUGAUGGAGACACAUAUUUUAUAUGAUGGUUUAUAUAUUUAUAUUUAUAUAGAUAUAUAAUUUAUAUAUAAUAUAUCUAUAUAAAUUAAAUUUAUAUAGAUAUAUUUAUAUAGAGGGCUGCUUUGGAGUCAGAGGGCCUAUGCUCAGAUGCAAACUCUGCCACUUAAUCCCUUGGCAGUAAGUUAUUUUACUCUCAUGGAGUAAAUGCAUCUGCAAAAUGAGGCAAUUGGACAAGAUGACCUCCUUUGGAGGAGUUAUUGGUCUAAUGGAAAAGACAUGGCUAUCCCAUUGAGGAAUGCUCAUAGCCAGGCUCCUAAGCCCCAUGGAGCUUUCCAACAAGAAAUGGAGUGGUCUCAAAAGGUACCAUCAGAGACCUGUAUUUUGCUAAUUGAUCUGCAUUCAGAGAACACAGGGCUGACCCAAAGAAAUACUGGCAAUGGAUGUAGUGCUUCUCUUCACUUAAAUACAUUGGCCAAAAACAGCCUCAGUGCUAGUGAAAGUAUGAGUAUACUCUCCUGGUGCAGUAGGUACACCAGCUCCCUUCUUGCACCUACAGUCCAGCUGCAUUUCCUCCUCCCUCUUGUGCGAGUGCCAGGCUGACUGUAGGGACAUGACCCUUUCCUUAAGGAAGCCCCAGAUUUAAUAGUGGUGCUCAUGGCUCCUAUUCUUGAAAAGACGAUAGGACACAGUCAUGAAAGCAUGGAAUCAUGGAGAAAUACUAUAUUAUUUAGUGACUGGAGGAAUUCGGACUGGAUGCAGUGCGUUGAUUUUGAAAAGAGUUUGGAGGGAAGGUUAUGCCUUGGAAAGAAGCGUGUGUGUGUGUGUGUGUGUGCAUUGUAGACCCAGAAGUUGUAGUGAUUUGGGUACAGUUUUACUUGUGACCUUGUUUCUAUUGUGUAAAUUAAGUGUUAGAAGCUUGGAUCCCCUGUUGUAGCUGUUACCCUCUGGGAUGGGGAAUGCCUCAGCCAGAGAUAUCACACAAGGAACAGGCAGCUCAGCCCAUGGGUUCCUUUUUUCUUCUUAAAAUAUUUCUGAGCUACACACACACACACACACACACACACACACACACACACACACACGAAAGAAGAUAAAAGCAAAAAAACAUUCCAAAUGUAAAGUAGAACCACAAAAAGGAUUAUAUGAAUCUUUAUUACAUAGAGAUUGCUUUUGAAAAGUACCUACAUAUACCUUUCAAAGCUAUUCCAUAUUUUCUAUUGUCUGUGUUUCCUUCUAAACUUCCUUCUGUUUUCUUUUGUACAUUAAAAAGUGCUUCAAUAAUCCCUUUUCUUCCUCCCUCUCCACCUCCCUUCCUUGUUUCCUUCCUAUCCCUCCAAAAGAAGAUGAAUCACAUCAUUGACCCUCUGGAACCAUGGUGGAUUAUUGUGUUGAUCAGAGUUCCUAAGUCUUUCAGUUAUUUGUCUUUACAAUGUGGUUGUCACUGUAUAAAUUGUUCUCCUGGUUCUGUUCAUUUCAUUCUGAAUCCCUUCAUAUAAAUCCUUCCAGGUUUCUCUAAAACUGUCACUUUUAUCAUUUCUUAUGGCACAAUAGGGUCCCAUCAUCUUCAUAUGCCAUAACUUGUUUAGCUUUUCCCACUCUCUUCAUUUCCAGAUCUUUGCUACAGCAAAAAGAGCUCCUAUUUUUGGUAAACACACACAGAUCCCUUUCUUCUUUCUUUGAUCUCUUUAGGGUAUAGUUCUAGUAGUGAUAUUGCUAGGUUGAAAAGUCUUUGGGGCACUCUUGAAUCACUAUUGGAAUUCCCUUGGUAACAUUGGGUUCCUUACGUCCUAGUGCCUGUAGGUUCUAUACCCUAGAAGAAGAAGAGCAGCCACCAUACCUCAUGUCACUUUUCAAAGGGAAAAUAGGGAGAGAAACUCUGAUAGAGCUUAUUUGACUCCCUUUGUCCUCCCACCCUCCCUGCUUUUCUCCAGCAAGGGCCAUGAAAAACAUUCACUUGAACUUGGGUGGAAGUAAAAGUUCAUUAAGAUACUGUGGUCAUUUCUGGACAUUAAUGGCAAAAGAGUCCAUUCUACUGUCUUUCAAAUAGCUUACUCAGAUCUGAGGUCUAUUGCUGCCAGUAGUGCCCAACCUUUAUGUCUGGAAUUGCCUAUAGAUCCAUCUGCUGCUGUCCAACACCAUUCAGCGUGUCCAGCUGUCACAUCUCAUUUCUGGCUGUGAGCCUCACGCACGGAAUCAUAGUAUGUUAUCUCUGGGAGGGAUUUUCCAAGCCAUUUAAUCUAAUCUCAUUUCACAGAGGUGGAAACUGAGUCUCAAAGACCUCCAGAGAGUUAGAGCCCUUGAAUCUAAGAAUCAGUAGUGACCUCAGAAGGACCCUAGUCCAACUUCUAGGUGAUCAGGAAUUCCUCCUGCAUCGUUGCUGAUAAGUAAUCAGUGAACCUCCAGUGAUGAGGGGUAAUCAUAUGUGAUGGCAAAUUUAUUUCUACUCUGGGUACAAGAUUCCACAUUUGGACAGCUUCAUUUGUUAGGAUAUUUUCCCCUUUCGUGGAGCCAAUGCCUGCUUCUCUGUAGCAUUUGACUGUUUCUCCUAUUUCUGCCAUCUGGGGCCAAGCAGAAUAAAUUUAAUUUCUCUUUCUCAUGUUAGCUCCUCAACUACCUGAAAACAUUUGCCAUGGCUUCCCUAAGCAGCCUUUUCUCCAACAGUUCCUUCAUCUCCCUUCAUGCCUUCCGUGGUAUUUUCUGUAGUCCCACCUUUCAUUUUAGGCACUCCUCUCAAGGAAUCAAAGAAUUAUAGAGCUUGAGCUAGAAGGAAUCUCUGAUGUGAUCUAGUCCAACAACUUCAUUUUACGUGUGAGGAAACUGAGCAUCAGAGAGGUUAACUGACUUGAUUGAGGCCAUAUAGUGUAACCAUCAGAGACAGGAUUUGAAUCUAGGAUCUCUGAUUCCAGAGUCAUUGUACUUUCCUCAGGACCACAUUGCCUCCUUUAUUCUAGGAUGAAAGCAUUCUUCUUAAAUGUAGUCCUCAGAGCUUAAACCUCCUCCACAUGUGGUCAGACCAAGGUGGGGGAUGUCACUUCAACAUACUGAAAACUGAUUCUCAACAUAGCCAGUCAGAAUUAGAACUUUUGGCUGUUCUGUCCCACUGUUGACUCUCUCAGCUUGUAGUCUACCACAAUUCUUCAGGUUAUUAUCAUAAAUUAUUAUUUAGUCAUGCCUCUUACAUCCUAUAUUUGUGCGGAUCUUAUUUUUUGAACCUAAAUGCAGGACUUUACAUUUAUCCCCAUCAUUUUUUUUAAACCCUUACCUUCCGUCUUGGAAUCAAUACUGCAGAAGAGUGGUAAGGGCUAGGCAAUGGGGGUCAAGUGACUUGCCCAGGGUCACACAGCUAGGUAUCUCCAUCAUUUUAAUAGAUUUGACCUGUCAGGCACUUUUUUUUGGGUCUUGGCUUUGCCAUCUUACCUAUUCUUCUAAUUUGGUGCCAUCUGAAAAUUUGAUCAGCAUGCUAUCUUUCCUUCCUAUAAUCAUUGAUAAAAACAUAGAACUUGUUCAGGCCAUGAUAGAAUUCUUGGACACUAAUCCAAAGACCCAUCUCCUGAGUGACAUCAAUUCAUUAAUCACUACUCCCUGAGUUAAGAUAUUCAACCAGUAUUAUCAUGGAGCACACAUAUCUAUAUUUUAUUUACAAGGAUAUCUACAAAGUACUUAGCCUUGCUGAAAUUUAAGUAUACUGUGCUUUACUAUUACCCCCAAAUCUACCACUAAAAUAGUUCUGUCAAGAAGAAAAUGAAGUUAGUCUAGUAAGAACUCUGUACUUGAGAAAUACGUUGACUCCUAACGAUCACAGCUUCCCUCUCCCAUUGCUCGCUGGCAAUCUCUUUAAUAAUGGAUUUUAGAAUUUUGCCAGGUAUUGAGGUCAGAAUCACUGGACUUUCCUUUAAAGAAUCUAUCCUCUCCUUUUUGAAAGGAAAUUCCAGAUUUGUAUUUCACCAAUCCAGCUCUGAAAAGCUCUGCUUUUUCUCCUUGUUCUUCAAAGUCGCUGCUAGGAAGCCCUCCAUGAAAAAGUACUGAAUUUAAAGUCAGAAGAAUCCCAGAAUCUUAAUUGAAAGGAACCUCAGAGACCAUUUAGUCCAACCCAGAUCUGAACAAGAAACCUCCCUACAAUAUAACUGACAAGUGGACCCUCUAUCCUUUGCUAAGAGGCCUUCAGUAAGAAGGAACUCACCAUCUCCUGGGGCAACCUGUUCACACUUUGGGAGAGCUUUUAUCAUUAGGAAAAUUUCCCUGUUAUUAUUUUUUGAGGGAAACCCACACCCCCAACUUUUCUACUUCUGGAUAGAAUCCAUCUAUCCCUUUUGUAUAAGACAAUUCUUCAGAGACUUGAAGAUAGCUAUCAUGUACAACCAAAGCUUUCUCUUCUCCAGGCUUAGCAUCCCAAUCUUCUAAUGACCUUCAUGUAGUAAGGUCUCAAGGCACCUUUCCAUGCUGGUUGCUCCUCUAGAUACUCCCCAACUUUUCACUUUCUUUCCUAAAAUAGAGUAUCCAGAAUGGAAGAUCAUAUACCAACUAUGUUAUAACUAGCACAAAAUGCAUCAAUACUGCCACUUCCUUAGAGUUAAAUGUUAUGUCUCCAGUAAUAAAGACCACAUAAUGCUGUUGACUUGUAUUGACCUCAAGGACCACUAAAGACUAUAGAUCUGUUUUUAAAAAUGAACUUCUGACUAGUCAUAAGAUCUGGAUUUGAGUUCCAUUCUAUCACCACAUGAGCUUGGGAAAGUUGCUUACCCUCUCUAGGUCUCAGUUUCCCCAUUUGUCCAAUGAGAUGGUUUGACUUGAUGAUCUCUUAAGUCCUCUCCUCCUCUGAUAUUCUGUCAUUCCCUGAGCUACCCCACCUUCCUCUUUCCUUUUGUUCUAGCUUCUUAGCAAGUUUUACACAGUUCAUUUUUUAAGAGCUGAAAUUAGCUUCUACUUUGUUUCCUCGAUUUACUUCAGCACCUCCAUCCUCUCCCAUGGCUUCAAUUAUCACAUCUGUAUGGAUGACUCCUAAAUCUACUUGUCUCACACUGACCUCUCCCCUGAGUUCCAGCCCCAUAUUUCCCACUGCCUGCUGGAUCUCUACCUGCUGUCACUUGAGUCUCAACAUGCCCCAAAGUGACUUCAUAAUUCCACUCCCCACCCCAUAUCAGACCAUUUCCCCAACUUGAUUGUUUUCAUUAAUGGCACUGUCAAAGCUCUAGGCUUGAAACUGUGGUACCCUUUAUACUCUACUCUUCCAUCAUCCUUGCCCCCCUCUCUUCCCCUUACAAUCAGUUAUGAAGUCCUGUUGAUUCUACCUUGGAAAUAUCUCUUACAUACACACACCUCCUCUAAUCUGCGCUGGUUACUACCACCUAACUUCAGUCCUUCAUCUCUUCUUACAGCCUCCUAAGGGGGCUUCUUGCCUUAAGCUUUUCCCCAUUCCAAUCUAUCUGUCACAUAGCUGCCAGCAUCUCCCCACAGCACAACUCUAACCAUGCUACUUCUCUUCUGUGGCUCCCUAAUGUCUAUAGAAUAAAAUACCAAAGUUCUCUACCAUCUGCCUCUGACCCACCUUUUUUUGAAGUCUCAUUUAAUUCUUCCUUGCUUCAUGUAUACUAUGGUCUGACCAAAGUGAAUGACUGGUGGUUCCCCAAACACAUCACAUCCUCUCUUGCUUAGGAACAUUCAUGCAAACAGUCCUCUUCAGGUAUAUUUGUCUGUUGGCAUUCCUCCUCUCUAGCAUUGUACUCCAGAUUUUUAGACAUCUAAUUGAUUUUUUUAAAAACAGGUACCUUCCAUCUUGGAAUCAAUACUGUAUGUUGGUUCCAAGGCAGAUGAGUGGUAAGGGCUAGGCAAUGGGGGUCAAGUGACUUGCCCAGGGUCACACAGCUAGGAAGUGUCUGAGUCCAGAUUUGAACUCAGAACCUUCCAUCUCCAGGCCUGGAUUUUUAUCCACUGAACUACCUCACUGCUCCUUGACACAUAAGUUGAAAGUGUCCUGAGGAAAAAAAAAUCAGAAGGAUUCCAUGGCUAAUAUUAUAUGGUGCAAGUCAACCAGAGGGAUGGGAAGUUCUGAAAAGUAAAAUUCUGAAGUCAUAAAGAGAGUGAGGAGGAAAAAAGAGAAUUAUACCAAAAAGUUAAUAUGGAUGCAUUGGGAUCUCACUAACCAAUUCAGAUGAAAAUGUGCAGAAGACCGAAAGAAACAUAGCUAACAGAAUUAAUACCAAAGUGUGGUACAGAUCUAGAGAAAGAGGGCUCACAUGAAAAGCUAAGAAUAUUGUAAUUUUGGAAAACUUAUGUAAAAUAUUAUUAUAUGUAAUUGGGAUAAAUAUUACAUUUUUAAAAAGUAAAAAAGAAAGCUAAGGACAACAAAGAAGUCUUUCCCACACCAAAGUAUUGGGGGAAAGAAGAUCAAAGGGACAAGAUCCCUAAUAGGGUACAUGCAGUGAUGACUAAUGACAACCAAUGACAAAGAAAAAGCUGAAAAAGUGGAAAAUAACUUCUGCUUCUGUUUUUUUUUCCCCCAAAGAAAAUGCUUUUUAGACAACAGAAAAUGGUUCAUGGUUGAAACCUAAUAUGGGUAGGUGAAUUGUAAGCAUCAUGCUUAGAACACACUAGGACUGGAGUCAGGAAGACUUGUGUGAUGUUGGGCAAGUCACUUUACCUUUUUGCCUCAGUUUACUCAUUUGUAAAAUGUGGUUAAUAACAGCAUCUACCUUGUAGGGUUGUUGUAAGGCUCAAAUUAGAUCUGAAGCACUUAGCAUAGUACCUGGCACAUAGUAAGCUCUAUAUAAAUGUUAACUAUUAUUAUUAUCAACUCAUGAUGAAUUCAUAUCAUCAUGCUAGAGGAACAGAAUGUUGAAAGAACUUAUAAAUUUCAUUGCUGAAACUGGAUCAUGAUCCUAGGUAGGUUUUCUAUCUAAUAUACCAUACUGCCUCUUAGGUGGCACAUGGUAGGCAUUUAAGAAAUGUGGAAGGAAGGAAGAAAAGAAAGAAGGAGGGAAGGAAGGGAGGAAAAAAAGCAGGAAGGAAAGAAAGAGGAAAAGAAGAAAAGAAGGAAGGAAGGAAGGAAAGAAGGAAAUAAGAAAGGAAGGAAGGAUCGAAGGAAAGACUCAUUCUAUGAACAUAUUCAAUUAAUGUUUAUUGACUGAUGGUCUUGUUCUAGUCCUAACCUUGGCACUCUCACUUCUAUCUCAUUCUCAUUUGUCAUAGUUAGAUGAUUUUUAGUCAAGGAACUAAAGAUAUUCAUCUUAGAGAAGAGAAGACUUCAUGUAGCUAGGGCAAGAGAGCUUCAGGCAGCUGGGGAAGGGCUGCCCCAUGGAAAAGGGAAUACACUUUUUCUGCUGGGACCUCGAGGAGCAAAAGGUGAAAGUAGCAGAAUGGCAGAAUUAACUCCAUAUGAGGAUUGUUUGUGGAUGCUCCCACAGGGCAGAGGCUAUUUGUACUUUUUCUUUUUUGUUUUUUCCCCCCUCAAUGCUUAAUACAGGGCCCAGGAGAUAGUAGUAAGUACUUAAUUGUUGAUUGAUGGAUGGAUUAAUAGCCAGAGCUUUCCUGAAAUGGCUUGGGGCUGUUUUAGGUGGCAGUGAGUUUCCAGUCACAGAAGCUUUCUGAACCCUGGCUGGAACACUGGAGAGACUAUUGAGGGAAUUCCUGCAUGGGGAGAGUGGAUUUGAUUGGUUCUGAGUGCCUUCCCAGCUUUGCAAUUCUAUGAUUUUCUCUUAAGUGCUAAAUGAAUAAUCUAGACACUCAGAGCUAGAAGAGUCUAGCAGAGGGAGGGGCUCUCAUAUGCCGAAGGUUUUGCAGAGGAGAUGGAGCUCGAGUGAUCUCAAAGGAUGCUUCUGCUCUAAUCCAGCCAAAGGAGGCAAGAUUUAAACUCAGAGCCUCCUGAAUCCCAAACCCAACUCUCUCUCCUCUCUACUACCCAGCUCUUCUUCCUGGAAUACAUCCUAGGACCCUAGGGAUUAGUACAUUGUAUGCAGGGGAUGGACAGAAGAAAAGACUAGCCUGACUAGAGCAAAGGGUUUUUGAGAGAAGCAGGAAGAGAGAGAAGAUGGCAAAAUAGGAAAGCUCAGGCAGAGGAGAGCUUUGAAAGGCAGACUGUUUUAGAGAUGGGUUUGGUAACAUGAUGGCUUGAAAAGCUGGAAUAAAGCAAGUCAUUAGAGAGGCAUGUUAAGCUGGGAAUCAGUGAUGGCAUCCGAUGUAUAUUGUAUGUAUGUGUGUACGGGGGUGUAAUAAUUAUUAUUGAUGCUGUAGGCUGCUUCUAUGAAAUCCUAGCAAUAGAAAAGAAUCUGUGAGGAUGCAUGAGCUAACAACUGCCUAGAUCCUGCAAGGUUGGGGUCAGGGGAGGGAAAUUGCUAUUUUAACAUAAGGAAGUAGCAAGACUAGGAUGCUGGGAUAACAUAGGAUGUCCUUUUCUCCAUCCUGAUCUCUUUGGCUCUUCUGCAAAUCAGCAGUGUGGACUCCUGCCCCAUCUCCUUGAUUUUUUCUUUUCCUGUGAGUUCUGUGACACUACUCUCAAAGUUGAUCUUCUACCUCUCUGAUUGCUCCUUCCCUCUCCUUUUCUGGCUCUUCAUCCUCCUCCUGGCCCUAAAGAUGAUGCUCCCAAGAUUCUGUACUCCCGCAUCUUAUGUUUCUCUGCCCUCUGUCCUUUGACUGACCCCUCCCAACUCAUGGCCUCAAUUGUCACCUGCCUUCUAUCUCAUUGCCACCACCCUAGUUCAGGUUCUUCUCUUUUCUCACCCAGACUUUUGGACUAUAAGUGUUAAUUGUUCUUUAACAGGUUGAUAGAAUUCUCCUUUAAAAAACCAUUAGGUCCAGGUGGAUUUUUUCUCUCUUUCUAUCCUGUCUAUUGCAAUAACCUCCUAAGUCUUUCUGCCUCUAAUCUCUUCCAGUCCAGUUCAUCCUUCCCAGAUUGUCCAAGUGACCGUCAUGAAGUAUAGCAUUAAUCUUGAUAUUUCCCUACUUAAAAACUUAAAAGUACUUAAAGUAUGUGUGUGUGUAUGUGUGUAAGGUCUAUGUCCAAGAAUGUAUGCCUCUUUCUUUGAGUCCAUCUCCACUCAGAAGGUGAGUAACACUCUUCAUCACUGGUCCCCUGAAGUCAUGGUUGGCCAAUGCACUGACCAGAGUUCUCAAAUCUUUUAGAGUUGUUUCCCUUUCUAAUAUUAUCUGAACUAUCUUUCUGGAAAAAUAAUACACCGGUUCCCUCUGGCUCACUCUAAGUUCCAGCCAACCAAAUCUAUCUUCUAUUUACCUUUCAGUGCUUCCUAUUUCCCACCUGUCCUUCUCUAGCCUUUUUUUUGCCAUGCCUGCCAUGCUUUCUCUCUUCACUUCUGCCUUGGAAAAUCUAUAGCUUCCUUCAGAAAUAGCUCUAGUGCUACCUCCUGCCCACCCCAAUUGUUUUUUUUUAAUUAAUUUUGAGUAUAUUUUGUAGGCAUUAGUAUAUACAUGUUGGUCCCUUCAGGUCAGGUGGGAUGUCAUCUCCUUGGGAGCAAGGACUGGUUAAUUUUUGUCUUAGUCCCCCAGUGCCUAGCACAGGGCCUCUUCAGUUCAUAUGGCUAGGACUUGAACUUUUGUUCCCUGAUCCCAGAUCUAGUGGUUUUUCCACACUUUCAUACUAUCUGGAUUGCUCUCCCUCCUUGACUCAACCUAGAAGGGAUACUGGACAUAUCUGAGGUUCUAUCCAAUUGCCACUUGCUAUUUAUAUACUGCAUAGGAGCAUCUAGGUGGUACAGUGGAUAGAGAGCCUUGAGCCAGGACUCAAGAAGACUAGCAUUCAAAUCCAUCUUUAGAUGGUAGCUGCGUGACCCUGGGCAAGUCACUUAAUUGCUGUCUGCCUCAGUUUACUCAACUGUAAAAUGUGAAUAUUUCAGGAUAGGAUUUGUGAGGAUUAAAUAAGACUUGUAAAGCACUUAGUAUAGUGCUUGUCAAAUAGUAGGUACUUAAUAAAUGUUUAAUUCUUCCUUAUUGACUGCCUUGAACCUCUCAAUUGUUGAUGUUAUAUAACCAGGAGCUUGGGUGGAUGUGCAUGGCUGUGGGAUUGUUCAUGUCAUUGUCUUUGUAUGUAUUGCAUAUGUGUGCAUAGAUUCAUGCCUGUGUGUGGGGAAAUGUGUGUGCGACCUGCAUGAGUGUGCUUGGCUUUGUGGGGUGGGUCUUCUCUGGUGCUCCACAUACUUCCUAGAACCCAGAGUCCUCCCCUCAGUGGGAAGUUCUCCCAGGGAAAUUGGGACACUGGGUCUUGCUUUACCUUGUAUCACCUCCCACGAGUUAUUUAUCACCCGGGGGUGGUUUCUAAAGAAGAGUCUCAUCAUUGGAGACUAUGUUGGGUGCCUCCAGAUGCACCUGCUGUCACACUUAGUCCCAUCCUACCUCUUCACAUCCUCUAUGGGGAUGGGAAUCAUGGACUUCUCCUUGGGACCCAGAGAAAGAAUAGCCCCCAAGAGAAGCUAGAAUUGGAAUGGGCUAAAGGGCUGAUAGAUAGAUAAACUGUGAUGCUCACAGCAAAUAGAGAUAUUCCUAUACCCACUUUAUUGAUGAGAAAACUGAGGUUUAGUUCAAUAUUAUAUAACUAGCAUUUAAUAAAUGUCUACUAAACUGAUUAGGCAUCUCCCCUCAGGAAGUUUUUUUUUUUUUUGAGGGAGGAGUCGAGGGACGAAGAGAUUGCCAUAAGGAUACUCGGAGCCAUUUGGGACUCAGGCCCAAGUCUCUUGGCUUCUGGCUCAGUGGACUCCUCAUUCUACCAGUCUACUUUGCUAGUCUCAGCUUCCAGGCCUGGAGGCUGACUCUUUCCUAAGACAAGCUGCAGCCUCAUAAGAGCCUAAAACAGAGAGUAUUUGUAACCUGGCCUUUUGCUGAGGUGUGUGGGUUGGGUUUUGAGGGACCUGGGAUCAAGAACUGGCUGUAGGGGCAGUCUGGGACCUCAGGUUAGACCAUAUUAUCCCCUUGGCCAUCAGGGAGAAGAAAUGAUGUCAUGAGGCCAACAGGCACAUACUCUUGCCAAAGUCCCACUGAUAUCAUCCUUUCCCCCCUUCUCUGGCCCUUACCCCUCUCCUCCUGUCACUGGAGCUGCUUUUAGCCAGGAGAUCUGGUAGGACAAGUAAUAGCUUCCUGUCCCAGUCUAAUGUACAGGGCUACUGAUGGAAGGAAUGCACCUGGCCAGGUGCUAAUGGAAGCCAGGAAUGAAAGAGGAAGAGUCCCAGCAUCAUGGAUCUGAGAGCUUGGAGGCGCCUCAUGAGCUCUGUCCCCAGGGUGGUUCCAGCCUAUCCUUCCAGGCUUAUGACACCUUCUUCCCCAUCACACAUACUGCACCAAAUUGAUCUCCUUACUGUUGUCACACAUGACAUUCUUUUUCUUCUCCCCCAUGACAUUCUGCCCCAUGCCUAGAAUGCUCUCUUUUGACAUCCCCAUCUCUUAGAAUCCCAAGUUUCCUUCAAAACUCUGCUCAAGAGCUAUCUUCUCCAUGGCACCUUCCCCAAUAUCCCUCAACCUCCUCCUCUAAAACUAGCUUGUAUUUAUUUGUGUCCAUGUGUAUACAUGUAGACUCAUAUAUAAACACACAUGUAUACAUGUAGAGCCGUACCCAUGUAUGUAUAUACUUCUAAUAUUCAUAUGUUGUUUUCUCAUUGAAACAUAAGCCCCAUGAGAGCAGGCAGGGACAAUUUCACUUUUGCCUCUGGGUCCCCAUCAUUUAUAUUACAUCAGAGGCACCUAGAAAAUGCUUGGUGAUGGUGUUGGUCCCCUACCAUCAAGCCAGCAUCAGGCACUUAAUAUUACUCACUGAGUUGAUUUGAGAGUUGAGUCUCUGACUCACCUGGGGUUCAGUGUUCUGCCAGCUUCAGAGUUUAGUCCAUGACCAAGGUUAGGGCUCAGGUUAUACAGACAGAUUCUGUUUCACUACAACUUUGUUUUCUGGAGAAAAUGAGGCAGGGUGGAUCAUGGCUUUCAUUUUCUUAAGGCAAAGGUUAUCCUAGACUGGAGUUUCCAGUGGAUUAUUGUCUUGUGCUUUCCCCUUCCCUCCCCUCCCCUCUCCUCUCCUCUUCUCUUUUCUCUUUCCCUCUCUUCUCUUCUCCUCUCCUCUCCUAUCCUUUCUUCUCUUUUCUCUCUAUUCUUCUUUCAAGGCCCAAUUGUAGGGCUUGAGUGCCUUUGCUUCAGAAAGCUUUCUCUGGCCACCUAUGUAUCCACUCUCCUUUCUUUCUUCCAAACUCCCACUGUACUUUCUGUCUAUACUGAAAUCUCCCACUUUGGAAAAAAACUGUUUUUGUCCUUCUGUUUCAUGUCUGGGUCUCAUUCUCACUGCCUAGAAGGUAGAAGGAACUAUCUCUUCACUCCUAUCCUCUGUGAUACCUAUUAUAUCACAGGGUCAUCCAUAUAUACAGAAGGCACUUGGUAAAUUGUUGUUGAAUGAUUUGAUGGAAAAGAAAGGAAAAUUUGGUACUGGCUAAGAGACAGAAAGGAGGAUCAGUGGAAUAGACUUAGCGUAAAUGACCUCAGCAAGUCAGUCUAUGACAAACCCAAAGACCCCAUAUUUUGGGACAAAAAUCCACUAUUUGAUAAAAACUGCUGGGAAAAUUGGAAGACAGUUUGGGAGAGAUUAGGUUUGGAUCAACACCUCACACCCUACACCAAGAUAAAUUCAAAAUGGGUGAAUGACUUGAAUAUAAAGAAGAAACUAUAAGUAAAUUAGGCAAACACAGAAUAGUAUACAUGUCAGACCUUUGGGAAAGGAAAGGUUUUAAAACCAAGGAAGACUUAGAAAGAGUCACAAAAUGUAAAAUAAAUAAUUUUGACUACAUCAAAUUAAAAAGUUUUUGUACAAACAAAACCAAUGUAACUAAAAUCAGAAGGAAAGCAACAAAUUGGGAAACAAUCUUCAUAAAAACCUCUGACGAAGGUUUAAUUACUCAAAUUUACAAAGAGCUAAAUCAAUUGUACAAAAAAUCAAGCCAUUCUCCAAUUAAUAAAUGGGCAAGGGACAUGAAUAGGCAGUUUUCAGAUAAAGAAAUCAAAACUAUUAAUAAGCACAUGAAAAAGUGUUCUAAAUCUCUUCUAAUCAGAGAAAUGCAAAUCAAAACAACUCUGAGGUAUCACCUCACACCUAGCAGAUUGGCUAACAUGACAGCUAAGGAAAGUAAUGAAUGCUGGAGGGGAUGUGGCAAAGUAGGGACACUAAUGUAUUGCUGGUGGAGUUGUGAAUUGAUCCAACCAUUCUGGAGGGCAAUUUGGAACUAUGCCCAAAGGGCAAUAAAAGACUGUCUGCCCUUUGAUCCAACCAUAGAACUGCUGGGUUUGUACCCCAAAGAGAUAAUAAGGAAAAAGACUGUACAAGAAUAUUCAUAGCUGCACUCUUUGUGGUGGCCAAAAAUUGGAAAAUGAGGGGAUGCCCUUCAAUUGGAGAAUGGCUGAACAAAUUGUGGUCCAUGUUGGUGAUGGAAUACUAUUGUGCUAAAAGGAAUAAUAAAGUGGAGGAAUUCCAUGGAGACUGGAACAACCUCCAGGAAUUGAUGCAGAGUGAAAGGAGCAGAACCAGGAAAACAUUGUACACAGAGAAUGAUACACUGUGGUAUAAUCGAAUGUAAUAGACUUCUCCAUUAGUGUCAAUGCAGUGAUCCUGAACAAUCUGCAGGGAUCUAGGAGAAAGAAAAAAACACUAUCCACAAGCAGAGGACAAACUGUGAGAGUAAAAACACCGAGGAAAGGCAACUGCUUGACUACAGGGGUUGAGGGGAUAUGACUGAGGAGAGACUCUAAAUGAACACUCUAAUGCAAAUACCAACAACAUUGGAAAUGGGUUCGAAUCAAGGACACAUGUGAUACCCAGUGGAAUCACGAGUUGGCUAUGGGAGAGGUGGUGGUGGUGGUGGGGAAGAAAAUGAUCUUUGUUUCCAAUGAAUAAUGUUUGAAAAUGACCAAAUAAAAUAAUGUUAAAAAAAAAGAAAAGAAAAGAAAAGAAAAGAAGGGAUAUUUUCCCAAGUGGGGUAGGAGAGAAACAGAAGAAAGAAGAGGUGAAGUCUGAGGGUUAAAAGGAAGUAGGAACUGGUGAUGGAACAAUGAGAGGGGAGAAGGGAAGGGGUGGAAAGACUGGGGAAAAUCCCUCUUCCUCAAGUGUGGCAAUCAGCCCAAAGCUUCCCUCUUCCAAAUCCUCUUAGCAGGCUCACAUUUCAUAGCAUUCACCCACAACCUUUGCAUGUGUCCUCAGAGAUAGAAAAGCUCCACAGCCUAAGUCUUUUUUCUAAAGGCAGGGAACACCCUGUACUCAGGGUCCCCAGUGAACCUGGACAGUGGCCACAGUUGGCUCUUCCUCCCCACAGCUCUACCAUUGUACAUCCUCCAGUUUAGACCCCUUUUCUUCCAGUGGCCUCUUCCUUCUCAAGGGAUUGCAGUCAUGUGGCUUUGAUAAAUGGACUUAAUAUGCAGUGAGAAUUAAUCACACCAUCCUGCUGGAAGGGGGAGAUACAGCUGCAUGCAAUGCCCAGAUCUCAGGCUGAUUUAUCACCUGGGUCCAAUGCUGGGAGGUGCCAAGGUUUAACUCACAAAGCUUCUGUCUCCACUCAGUCUGAGCAUGCUCCUUUAGGUGGCUGCUUGGAGAUGGGGGACAAAAAAGUGUCCAGACAAGCAUGGGAGUGGCAGAAAUCCAUUUCCAUGAAACCUAGGCUUAUCACCAUCUGGAGUAUUUCCCCCAAAUGAAGAUGCCACACUUUGGGGAGAAUGGGGGGCAAGCUAGAGAUGCAUCUAAAGGAGGAUGACCAGAGUAAUGGAGGGAUAGGAAACCAGGCUAUCGUCUUCCUGGUUUUUGGCUGAGGACAUGUGGCAGCCCUUCAAAUGCUUGAAGACAACAGUCAUGUUCCAGGUCCACCUCUUCAACUCCAGAUUCCUUGGUUUCUUUACCUAAUCCCAGUAUACCAUGAGAUCAAGGCUCUUUUGCCACCUCAUUCUUUCUUUCAUUCUUUUAUUCAUUUCUUCAUCUCCUAGCUUAUCAGUAUGCUUCUUUAAAACCCUUGCCUUCCAUCUUGGAAUCAAUACUGUGUAUUGGCUUCAAGACAGAAGAGUGGUAAGGGCUAGGCAAUGGGGGUUAAGUGACCUGCCCAGGGUCACACAGCUGGGAAGUGUCUGAGAUCAGAUUUGAACCUAAGACCUCCCAUCUCUAGACCUGACUCUCAAUCCACUGAGCCACCCAGCUGCCCCACCCCCAGUAUGCUUCUUAAGAAGAGAUAGCUGGUAAAACCCAGUGGAAUUGCACAUCGGCUAUGAGGAGUGAGGGGAGCAAAGGGAAAGAAUAUGAUUCUUGUAACCAAGGAAUAAUGUUCUAAACUGACUAAUUAAACAAAAUUAAAAAAAAAAAAGAGGUAGCUGGGUGAUGCAGUGGAUGGAGCUCUGGAUAUAAAUCAGGAAGAUCUCAGAAACUUGUUAACUCUUUGAUCCUACAUAAGCCACUUAAUUUUUGUCAGCCUCAGUUUCCUAAACUGUGAAAUUGAGGUAAUAAUUGUACCAACUUCCAGAGUUUUUUGUAAGGAUUGAAAGAGAUAAUAUUUGUAAGAUGCUUAGCACAGUGCCCAGCAAAUAGUAGUAGCUUAAUAAAUGCUUGUUUUCUUCCUUCUUUCCCUCUUCGAAUGUGGUAUAAAGAAAUGAAGGAGGCACAAUAUCAGUGUUGUUGUUAUUAUUAUUAUUAUCAUCCUUGUCAUUAUUACAUAGAUAAGAUGUGGUCAGACUAGGAUACAGAGGCUAGGAAUGAUCACCUCCCUAGUCUUCCUUAAUUCAGGCUAAAGUUGUAUUGAAUGCUUUGCCUGGCAUGCCAUAUUGACAUGUAUUGAACUUGCAGUCCACUAAAACUGCGCCACUCUAUUCCAGAUGAACUCCUUGCUCUCUGGCUACCUCUCCACUACUUUGUACUUGUGAAGUAGCUGAGUGUAAGACUUUACAUAUGUCUCUCUUGGAUUUCCUCUUAGUAGAUGAGACCCACUCAGUGAGAAACGUAUGAGUGAGUGUGUUUUCAUUGCUCAAGCACAGCGGCCAUCACUCCUUGUGUCUCUCCCAAGGCAGGAGCCAGUGUGUGCCAGUGAUGGGAUCAGCUUUUCCCUGGGUGGGCAGGAGGAUAAUCCUCUGCCGAGGUUCCCUCUGGGAGGUGUUGGGAAGAGAAGCUUACAUUCAGAAGCCAAGUGGGGUUGGUAUCCAGAUGAUCUGUGAAGUGCUAAGAUGAACAAGGAGUAAGGGCCAAGGCAGUCUGCACCAGGAUGCAGGGUGUUCCGGGGAGUUGACAGUUGGUCCACCACCACCAGAUUGCCCCAAAGUUCCAAUCUUUUUAUUGUAGUGGUUUCUCUCCUUUCUCUCAUUUGGCAUCGGCAUACGGGCAUGUCAGUAUGUUCAUGGAUGUGGUCCACUGAGCCUCUUGCUGACUCAGCCACCUCUUUCAGUCCAUGGACUCAGACACAUCUGCCAACAUCACCCUAUUCUAGAUGGGAAUUAAGAGGCAGCUCAGCUGGUCCCUUUCUGCCAGAUAGUGCUAGGCUGGAUCUGCCUUCACAGCUUCAUCUUCUUCUAUCCACAGCAGCCAACAUUGUUCUUUACACAUGGAAUGUUUGUUGAACGAAUUAGUACUUGCUCUCAGUACUAGUUAGUAAAUGUUGUGUGAGGGCUCAGUGACAACAUGAGACACGUCUCUGAGUGAUGCAAACAUCCUUGGCUACCACCCCAUACUAGAGAAAUGACACAUACUAUAAUAAUGAUCCCACACCAAACACUCACUCCAGCUACCAACCAUACCCCAUACCUAGUCAACUCUACCCUACCCUUUCCCAGUUCUUAUUCCAUCACGUCACCAAAGGCUUGUCUCCUCCUCCUACUGUAAAGGACAUUGUUGACCUUCCAUUUAGAGAGAGCAGAGUGUGAUGGAUAAAGAGACAGCCUCAGAUCCAAGAAGAUCUGAAUUUAGGUCCUUCCUCUUUAUAUAUUGUUGGAGUUUCAAUAGAAGUGUCGAACUUAGACCCUCCAAGCUCUGAUUGCUGGCCCAAAACAGAUUAAAAUAUAAUUGGGAAAUGUUUGAUCAAAUAAAUAGAAAUACACUACAACACAGAUAAUGUUAAUUUGUGGUUUUCUGAGUCAAUUUGGGGUUCAUAGAGGUCCUAUUCAAUUUGAAUUGGCCAAAAGGUGCCAACAUGUAUUAACUGAGAGUUCUUGAUACCAGUGAAAGCACAACUCCAGUUCCUCUCCUCUGCUCAUGUAGCGCUGAAUCAGUAUCAUAUAAUAAAAAGGUUAGAUUUGGAGUCAGAUGACCUGCGUUCAAAUCCUGUCUUUAAUAAAUAGUUCUUAUACAACUUUGUGGAAAUUAUUCCCUAGGCUUUAGCUUUUCCAUAUGAUUGAAUUGGCCUUGAUGAUCCCCAAGCUCCCAUUUAGCUUGUGAUCCUAUGAAGGGUAGUGGUCACACUUAUGUCUUGCCUUUGCCUUCUAAUGCCCUGAUCUCCUUGGCUGAUGAAGAGAUAAUAGACACACUAGUUGUUGCAUCAGGUAACCAGUGGCUUGGGCUAGGUAGAGGAAUGUUCAGUGCUCUAGUGGGAAUACUCUGGAGGAAGAUAAAGCCGAAAGGUAGGGCUCCUUUCAUUUUCUAUCUCCAAUGCCUAGCACAUGUCUGGCAUGCUCCCCAUCUUGUACCUGUGAUGUUAGCACUAUAGGAGAUUUCUGGUGAGGAAACUCCCUUCACUAAUGCAAAUGGCCACCUCAUCUGCCACUUAGAGUCUUCCACGGAAGCCUGAGGGCACUGAGAAGUGGCUUCUUACAUCUCACAUCUCACACAGGAUUACACAACUAGUAGGUGUCAGAAAUGGGAUUAAACUGGAUCUUCCUGCCCCUAAAGUUGGCUCUUCACCCACUAUGCCAUGCUCCACUCCCUCCAACCUUGCCCAUAACAGAAGAAGCUUAAUAUAUGUUUCUUCAACUGAAUUGAAUUGAAUACUCCCAAGGAAACUGAAUGUGAAGUAUUUCUGAGCACUAAGCUAGCACAGGGUAGGCAAAGCCUUAGUUCUUGACUUGGUUGGGAAAUGAAGAGGUUAGGAUGGGGUAGAAAGAAUCUGGUUUGAUAGUACAUGUGAAAAAGACCUGAGAGUUUCAGUGGGCCACAAGUAUCAGCUCAAAAAUCCAGACAUUUUAGACUGCAUAAAGAGGAGAGUUGAGAGGCUACCUUUGCUAUGCUCUUCUCUGCUCUGCUUAUGUCUUAAAUUUUGAGUCUAAUCUGGAUUCACAUUUUAGGAGAGACCCUAAUGGUUGGAGUUGGCCCAGAGAAAGAUGAUCAAAACUGUAAGAUAACUGGAAACUAUAUCCUUUAAGGGAAACUGGAAGGAUUAAAAUGGUUUAGUAUGGGAGUAGAAGCCAGGGAUGUAUUGAUAACUAUCUUCAAAUGUCUAUAGGCCUAGGACUUGUAUGGUGUGGAGCAAAGGAUGGAGCAAAGUCUUGGAACCAAGACUUGGAAUCUAUAGGGAUCUAAAUUCAGCUCCUGCCUCUGACAUAUACUUGUUCUAACAAUAGGAAGCCACUUGGGCUUUAGGAGUCUCGGUUUACUCAUCUGUAAAAUGGGGAUAAUAAAUCUGUGGCAUCCUACUUUAGCAUUAUUGUGAAGAUUA